GACACGGUCCAGACUCCUACGGGAGGCAGCAGUGGGGAAUAUUGCACAAUGGGCGCAAGCCUGAUGCAGCCAUGCCGCGUGUAUGAAGAAGGCCUUCGGGUUGUAAAGUACUUUCAGCAGUGAGGAAGGUGGUAGUGUUAAUAGCACUAUCAUUUGACGUUAGCUGCAGAAGAAGCACCGGCUAACUCCGUGCCAGCAGCCGCGGUAAUACGGAGGGUGCGAGCGUUAAUCGGAAUUACUGGGCGUAAAGCGCAUGCAGGUGGUUUGUUAAGUCAGAUGUGAAAGCCCGGGGCUCAACCUCGGAAUUGCAUUUGAAACUGGCAGACUAGAGUACUGUAGAGGGGGGUAGAAUUUCAGGUGUAGCGGUGAAAUGCGUAGAGAUCUGAAGGGAAUACCGGUGGCGAAGGCGGCCCCCUGGACAGAUACUGACACUCAGAUGCGAAAGCGUGGGGAGCAAACAGGAUUAGAUACCCUGGUAGUCCACGCCGUAAACGAUGUCUACUUGGAGGUUGUGGCCUUGAGCCGUGGCUUUCGGAGCUAACGCGUUAAGUAGACCGCCUGGGGAGUACGGUCGCAAGAUUAAAACUCAAAUGAAUUGACGGGGGCCCGCACAAGCGGUGGAGCAUGUGGUUUAAUUCGAUGCAACGCGAAGAACCUUACCUACUCUUGACAUCCUCAGAASAGACCGGAGACAGUCUUGUGCCUUCGGGAACUGAGAGACAGGUGCUGCAUGGCUGUCGUCAGCUCGUGUUGUGAAAUGUUGGGUUAAGUCCCGCAACGAGCGCAACCCUUAUCCUUGUUUGCCAGCGAGUAAUGUCGGGAACUCCAGGGAGACUGCCGGUGAUAAACCGGAGGAAGGUGGGGACGACGUCAAGUCAUCAUGGCCCUUACGAGUAGGGCUACACACGUGCUACAAUGGCGCAUACAGAGGGCGGCCAACUUGCGAAAGUGAGCGAAUCCCAAAAAGUGCGUCGUAGUCCGGAUUGGAGUCUGCAACUCGACUCCAUGAAGUCGGAAUCGCUAGUAAUCGUAGAUCAGAAUGCUACGGUGAAUACGUUCCCGGGCCUUGUACACACCGCCCGUCACACC
rnacentral:rRNA from 1 species